UCGACCUCAGAUCAGACG
rnacentral:rRNA from 2 species